rnacentral:rRNA from 1 species
CCUACGGGCGGCAGCAGUGAGGAAUAUUGGUCAAUGGGCGAGAGCCUGAACCAGCCAAGUCGCGUGAAGGAUGAAGGAUCUAUGGUUUGUAAACUUCUUUUAUAUGGGAAUAAAGUGAGGAACGUGUUCCUUUUUGUAUGUACCAUAUGAAUAAGCAUCGGCUAACUCCGUGCCAGCAGCCGCGGUAAUACGGAGGAUGCGAGCGUUAUCCGGAUUUAUUGGGUUUAAAGGGUGCGUGGUGGUUAAUUAAGUCAGCGGUGAAAGUUUGUGGCUCAACCAUAAAAUUGCCGGUGAAACUGGUUGACUGGAGUAUAUUUGAGGUAGGCGGAAUGCGUGGUGUAGCGGUGAAAUGCAUAGAUAUCACGCAGAACUCCGAGUGCGAAGGCAGCUUACUAAACUAUAACUGACACUGAAGCACGAAAGCGUGGGGAUCAAACAGGAUUAGAUACCCGUGUAGUC